rnacentral:rRNA from 1 species
GAUGAACGCUAGCGGGAGGCCUAACACAUGCAAGCCGAGCGGUAUUGUUUCUUCGGAAAUGAGAGAGCGGCGUACGGGUGCGGAACACGUGUGCAACCUGCCUUUAUCUGGGGGAUAGCCUUUCGAAAGGAAGAUUAAUACUCCAUAACAUAUUGAUUGGCAUCAAUUAAUAUUGAAAGCUCCGGCGGAUAGAGAUGGGCACGCGCAAGAUUAGCUAGUUGGUGAGGUAACGGCUCACCAAGGCGAUGAUCUUUAGGGGGCCUGAGAGGGUGAUCCCCCACACUGGUACUGAGACACGGACCAGACUCCUACGGGAGGCAGCAGUGAGGAAUAUUGGUCAAUGGGUGCAAGCCUGAACCAGCCAUCCCGCGUGAAGGACGACUGCCCUAUGGGUUGUAAACUUCUUUUGUAUAGGGAUAAACCUACCCUCGUGAGGGUAGCUGAAGGUACUAUACGAAUAAGCACCGGCUAACUCCGUGCCAGCAGCCGCGGUAAUACGGAGGGUGCAAGCGUUAUCCGGAUUUAUUGGGUUUAAAGGGUCCGUAGGCGGACUUAUAAGUCAGUGGUGAAAGCCUGUCGCUUAACGAUAGAACUGCCAUUGAUACUGUAAGUCUUGAGUAUAUUUGUGGUAGCUGGAAUAAGUAGUGUAGCGGUGAAAUGCAUAGAUAUUACUUAGAACACCAAUUGCGAAGGCAGGUUACCAAGAUAUAACUGACGCUGAGGGACGAAAGCGUGGGGAGCGAACAGGAUUAGAUACCCUGGUAGUCCACGCCGUAAACGAUGCUAACUCGUUUUUGGGCUUUAGGGUUCAGAGACCAAGCGAAAGUGAUAAGUUAGCCACCUGGGGAGUACGCUCGCAAGAGUGAAACCCAAAGGAAUUGACGGGGGCCCGCACAAGCGGUGGAUUAUGUGGUUUAAUUCGAUGAUACGCGAGGAACCUUACCAAGACUUAAAUGGGAAUUGACAGCUUUAGAAAUAGAGCUUUCUUCGGACAAUUUUCAAGGUGCUGCAUGGUUGUCGUCAGCUCGUGCCGUGAGGUGUUAGGUUAAGUCCUGCAACGAGCGCAACCCCUGUCACUAGUUGCCAUCAUUCAGUUGGGGACUCUAGUGAGACUGCCUACGCAAGUAGAGAGGAAGGUGGGGAUGACGUCAAAUCAUCACGGCCCUUACGUCUUGGGCCACACACGUAAUACAAUGGCCGGUACAGAGGGCAGCUACACAGCGAUGUGAUGCAAAUCUCGAAAGCCGGUCUCAGUUCGGAUUGGAGUCUGCAACUCGACUCUAUGAAGCUGGAAUCGCUAGUAAUCGCGCAUCAGCCAUGGCGCGGUGAAUACGUUCCCGGGCCU